UACGGGGGGGGCAAGCGUUGUUCGGAAUUACUGGGCGUAAAGGGCUCGUAGGCGGCCAACUAAGUCAGACGUGAAAUCCCUAGGCUCAACCUAGGAACUGCGUCUGAUACUGGAUGGCUUGAAUCCGGGAGAGGGAUGCAGAAUUCCAGGUGUAGCGGUGAAAUGCGUAGAUAUCUGGAGGAAUACCGGUGGCGAAGGCGGCAUCCUGGACCAACACUGACGCUGAGUGAGCGAAAGCCAGGGAGCAAGCGGG
rnacentral:rRNA from 1 species